CCUACGGGAGGCAGCAGUAGGGAAUAUUGCUCAAUGGGGGAAACCCUGAAGCAGCAACGCCGCGUGGAGGAUGAAGGUUUUCGGAUUGUAAACUCCUUUUGUUAGAGAAGAUAAUGACGGUAUCUAACGAAUAAGCACCGGCUAACUCCGUGCCAGCAGCCGCGGUAAUACGGAGGGUGCAAGCGUUACUCGGAAUCACUGGGCGUAAAGAGCGCGUAGGCGGGAUAGCAAGUCAGAUGUGAAAUCCUAUGGCUUAACCAUAGAACUGCAUUUGAAACUGUUAUUCUAGAGUAUUGGAGAGGUAGGUGGAAUUCUUGGUGUAUGGGUAAAAUCCUUAGAGCUCACGAGGAAUCCUCUUUGCGACAGCGACCUGCUAGAACAUAACUGACGCUGAUGCGCGAAAGCGUGGGGAGCAAACAGGAUUAGAUACCCUUGUAGUC
rnacentral:rRNA from 1 species